CAGAGGGUGCAAGCGUUGUUCGGAAUUACUGGGCGUAAAGCGCGCGCAGGCGGAUCCUGCAAGUCAGAAGUGAAAUCUCACUGCUCAACGGUGAGGCUGCUUUUGAUACUGCGGAUCUGGAGACCGGUAGAGGCUGGUAGAAUUGCAGGUGUAGCGGUGGAAUGCGUAGAGAUCUGCAAGAAUACCCGUGGCGAAGGCGGCCAGCUGGGCCGGUUCUGACGCUGAGGCGCGAAAGCGGUGGGGAGCAAACAGGAUUAGACUACCCUGGUAGUCCACGCCGUAAACGAGUGGGCACUAGGUGCUGGGGGGAGCGACCCCGUCAGUGCCGCAGCUAACGCGAUAAGUGCCCCGCCUGGGGAGUACGGCCGCAAGGCUG
rnacentral:rRNA from 1 species